rnacentral:lncRNA from 1 species
UAAACAUGAGUAUAAGAUUGGUGAACUUCGAGCUACCUCUGGGAAGGGUUUUGUUUAAAGUCAAAAGCAGGACAUACCUGAAGGUACUUACCAUGGGUUUGGAUGAUGAAGUGUUUUGAAUCGCCGCCAUGGUAACUCCUCUUUUUUUCUUUUUAUUGUUUUUUAGUGGAGCAAGAUGCAAGAACCAACACCAUCUCCAAACCAAGAUAAGAUUUGGCAUGAAAGGAACUUACUCGGGAUACUCGCAUACCUCCCCC